GGCACUUUGGCGGAGUGGUUAACGCGAUGGCCUGCUAUCUUUAAGGAGAAGACAGCCAUUUCCUUCGGGAGCGAGUGUUCGAAUCACUCAGGUGUCG